ACGGGAGGCAGCAGUGGGGAAUAUUGCACAAUGGGCGCAAGCCUGAUGCAGCGAUGCCGCGUGAGGGAAGAAGGUUUUCGGAUUGUAAACCUCUGUCAUCGGGGACGAUAAUGACUGUACCCGAGAAGGAAGCUCCGGCUAACUACGUGCCAGCAGCCGCGGUAAUACGUAGGGAGCGAGCGUUGUCCGGAAUUACUGGGUGUAAAGGGAGCGUAGGCGGGACGGCAAGUCAGAUGUGAAAUACAUGGGCUCAACCCAUGGGCUGCAUUUGAAACUGCUGUUCUUGAGUGAAGUAGAGGUAAGCGGAAUUCCUGGUGUAGCGGUGAAAUGCGUAGAUAUCAGGAGGAACACCGGUGGCGAAGGCGGCUUACUGGGCUUUUACUGACGCUGAGGCUCGAAAGCGUGGGGAGCAAACAGGAUUAGAUACCCUGGUA
rnacentral:rRNA from 1 species